AUACGGAGGAUCCGAGCGUUAUCCGGAUUUAUUGGGUUUAAAGGGAGCGUAGAUGGAUGUUUAAGUCAGUUGUGAAAGUUUGCGGCUCAACCGUAAAAUUGCAGUUGAUACUGGAUAUCUUGAGUGCAGUUGAGGCAGGCGGAAUUCGUGGGGUAGCGGGGAAAUGCUUAGAUAUCACGAAGAACUCCGAUUGCGAAGGCAGCCUGCUAAGCUGCAACUGACAUUGAGGCUCGAAAGUGUGGGUAUCAAACAGGAUUAGAUACCCUGGUAGUCCACACGGUAAACGAUGAAUACUCGCUGUUUGCGAUAUACUGCAAGCGGCCAAGCGAAAGCGUUAAGUAUUCCACCUGGGGAGUACGCCGGCAACGGUGAAACUCAAAGGAAUUGACGGGG
rnacentral:rRNA from 1 species